GACGAACGCUGGCGGCGUGCCUAAUACAUGCAAGUAGAACGCUGAAGGAGGAGCUUGCUCUUCUGGAUGAGUUGCGAACGGGUGAGUAACGCGUAGGUAACCUGCCUGGUAGCGGGGGAUAACUAUUGGAAACGAUAGCUAAUACCGCAUAAGAGUAGAUGUUGCAUGACAUUUACUUAAAAGGUGCAAUUGCAUCACUACCAGAUGGACCUGCGUUGUAUUAGCUAGUUGGUGGGGUAACGGCUUACCAAGGCGACGAUACAUAGCCGACCUGAGAGGGGGGACGGCCACACUGGGACUGAGACACGGCCCAGACUCCUACGGGAGGCAGCGGUAGGGAAUCUUCGGCAAUGGACGGAAGUCUGACCGAGCAACGCCGCGUGAGUGAAGAAGGUUUUCGGAUCGUAAAGCUCUGUUGUAAGAGAAGAACGAGUGUGAGAGUGGAAAGUUCACACUGUGACGGUAUCUUACCAGAAAGGGACGGCUAACUACGUG
rnacentral:rRNA from 1 species